CACGUAGGGGACGAGCGUUGUCCGGAUUCAUUGGGCGUAAAGCGCGCGUAGGCGGCUCGGAAAGUCGGUCGUGAAAUGCCGGGGCUCAACCCCGGGACUGCGUCCGAUACUUCCGGGCUGGAGGUAGGUAGGGGAGAUCGGAAUUCCUGGUGUAGCGGUGAAAUGCGCAGAUAUCAGGAGGAACCCCGGUGGCGAAGGCGGAUCUCUGGGCCUUACCUGACGCUGAGGCGCGAAAGCUAGGGGAGCGAACAGG
rnacentral:rRNA from 1 species